UGACUGCCUUGCUUUGCCAUCUUGCAACC
rnacentral:piRNA from 1 species